rnacentral:misc_RNA from 1 species
GUUGAAUCUUAUCAAAUAGUGUUUCUCUAAAUUCGAUUUGGCUUUAGUACAGUUAAUUCGGACUGAUACUCAAAAUCUCAUAGUACAGGAGCUCACUGAUAAUUAUAUCCCUAUUUUCAUUAGUUUUCUACAAGUUGCUAGAGCAAUAAAUUCUAGAUCAAACCGAUCAUUAUGUCAGUCCCAGCUUCAUCCAUUGAACCCAUCAAUCUCAUUAUUAUCAGAUCACUAGAAACCACCAUUUCUUCUCUACCUUUCCGUUUUCUUUGACCAACAAAAUUUCACAUGUCAAGUUUACAAAUAUCUCAAAAAGCUACAAACAUUACUUCCACCACCACAUCUUGUCAAGAGCUCGUUUCCAUACCGCUUUUCAUGUCAUAAGCAUUCUAUGAUGAUCAAAUCAAUUUUGAUAUCAAGGCUCAUCAUAUAGAAAAGGGUGUCUGGCCUAUCCAUGAUAUGAAUGGCCAGUCAAAUAAGAUACAUAAUUCUUACAAAGCAGAGCAAGAACAAGAAAAAAAGAGAAAGAAAGAAGAGAUUUACAGAAUGCCUUAUCCAAUAAAGGUACAGUCACUGCAUGGCUCCUCUCAGUCUACAGCCUCCGCAGUUUAUAUGACCUCAGCUUUUCAAACCCAGCAUCUUCAAAUUAACUAGAUACCAUUUCCAAUAAUAUAGAACCCACUGUCCCACAAUCCUUAAAAAAACAUUUAUGGCCCUCGAUACCUGCGGAAAAAGAGACAACCUUGAGGUUGGUCUAGAGGGAUCAUGCCUCCUCCCUUGGAUGUGUCAAUUGCCUCUAACAUGGACACAACCUCCUCCAUCUCAGGCCGCUUGUCAGGAUUCGCAUCCCAGCAUCGCUUCAUUACGUUGGCAAGAGAACUUGGGCAACACCGGGGUAUUUCUGGCCUCAGAUUCUAUUGUUUCACAUACAAGUUUUUUUUCUUUUUCAGCUUAUUAUAACAGAAACGGAUAUUGUAAUGAUUAUAGAAAGCAUAUUACUGUCAAUAUAGUUUUCUGCAACAAAAUGAAAACUGUCUGAAAUGCUUCAUUUACCUGUCGGACAACAGCAGAUGUCACUUCCGAGAAACUGAGGUCUGGAUAUGGCAUGUCACAGCAGUAUAUCUCCCACAGGCAAAUUCCAAAACUGUACACAUCGCACUUUCUAUUAUAUGGGUUGCCAUUGAGAACCUGUCCCAGUUAUAGUUUAUUGCCAAUAAAUAACAUAAAGAUGAGUUUAAAGCUGAAAGGAAGCUAUAUGACCCAUUAAAAGUUUCUUAAAAAAUUCCAAUACAUUGAGAAUCAGCUAUAUAUAAACUGCAAUCUAAAAGCUGAUAUAAAGCAACAUCAAUCCAUACUAAAGCUGAGGCAUCAAAAAGUAAAAUUCUUAUAAGGAAUUCGCCUCUAACAAUUUGUGUAUAUAUAUACAUCACCUGGACAAAGUUAUUUUUAAACAAAAGUUAAUUGCCAUUAAGUAGAGUUUGAAUCUUUUUUUUUUUUUUGGGAAUAAUGUAAUGAAAUGCGAGUUUUCACUAUGCUUCGUCCACCGAAGGCAGAAGAACUCGAGUCAAAACGCCACAGCCAAUAUUCUGUAGAAGCAGCUAUAAUCCAAGCCUAUCAAUUUUUAGCAACUAUACAAUAAGUAAUAUAUCCUCUUCGAGUGCUUUGCUGGCAAAGCAAUUCGUAAGUUGCAUACCUCAGGUGCCAUGUAGCCAAGUGUUCCAGUCUCUCCAGUCAUGUCCUUAGGAUUUGAUGCUUCCAGGCGAGCAACACCAAAGUCGGCUAUUUUCACUGUACGUGUCUUGUCCAGAAGCAUAUUUUCUGUUUUAACAUCUCUAUGGACAAUCUUCUUAGAAUGGAGAUAGCUCAACCUAUAAGAAAUCCAAAUAGAAGCUUCAACACACUCAAGUUAUAUUGUAUUUCAAUUUCAAAAACAAAACUAGAAACAUUCAUGAAAAUAAGUUUUAAAUUCAGUAGAUUUGAAAAUCACAUAAAAUACAGAUGGGGCAUGAGAAUUUAACCCUCGUGCAAGAUCCAGUGCCAAUUGCAUAACCACUUUAAACGCCAGCUUCCUUCUCCUGUUCUUUAUGAGGUAAGAUUUUAAAGCACCCCCAGGACAAUAUUCAACAACAACACAGCAAACAUUACUUGGCAUGCCCAUGUGACCAUUCUCUGUUUGUAUAUUCAACUCUGACA